rnacentral:sRNA from 1 species
CGAUGCCCGCAUGAGGGAUAGCAGCGAUAUCCUUUUGUGAAGAGAAACGGAACAAAAGAUUUAGCGAAUAGCCCGACCCGUU